rnacentral:rRNA from 1 species
GGAGGGUGCAAGCGUUAAUCGGUAUUACUGGGCGUAAAGCGCACGCAGGCGGUCUGUCAAGUCGGAUGUGAAAUCCCCGGGCUCAACCUGGGAACUGCAUUCGAAACUGGCAGGCUAGAGUCUUGUAGAGGGGGGUAGAAUUCCAGGUGUAGCGGUGAAAUGCGUAGAGAUCUGGAGGAAUACCGGUGGCGAAGGCGGCCCCCUGGACAAAGACUGACGCUCAGGUGCGAAAGCGUGGGGAGCAAACAGGAUUAGAUACCCUGGUAGUCCACGCCGUAAACGAUGUCGACUUGGAGGUUGUUCCCUUGAGGAGUGGCUUCCGGAGCUAACGCGUUAAGUCGACCGCCUGGGGAGUACGGCCGCAAGGUUA